UCCCUUGUAUCUCAGUCGGUAAAGGAUCUGCCUGCAGUGCAGGAGACCUGGGUUCGAUCCCUGGGUUGGGAA
rfam:Ovis aries breed Texel chromosome 4, whole genome shotgun sequence.